GAUGAACGCUGGCGGCGUGCCUAAUACAUGCAAGUAGAACGCUGAAGGAGGAGCUUGCUCUUCUGGAUGAGUUGCGAACGGGUGAGUAACGCGUAGGUAACCUGCCUGGUAGCGGGGGAUAACUAUUGGAAACGAUAGCUAAUACCGCAUGACAACAGUUAUUGCAUGAUAACUGUUUAAAAGGGGCAACUGCUCCACUACCAGAUGGACCUGCGUUGUAUUAGCUAGUUGGUGAGGUAACGGCUCACCAAGGCGACGAUACAUAGCCGACCUGAGAGGGUGAUCGGCCACACUGGGACUGAGACCCGGCCCAGACUCCUACGGGAGGCAGCAGUAGGGAAUCUUCGGCAAUGGACGGAAGUCUGACCGAGCAACGCCGCGUGAGUGAAGAAGGUUUUCGGAUCGUAAAGCUCUGUUGUAAGAGAAGAACGAGUGUGAGAGUGGAAAGUUCACACUGUGACGGUAUCUUACCAGAAAGGGACGGCUAACUACGUG
rnacentral:rRNA from 1 species